UACAGAGGUCCCAAGCGUUGUUCGGAUUCACUGGGCGUAAAGGGUGCGCAGGUGGGCUGGCAAGUUCGAUGUGAAAGCCCCCGGGCUUAACCCGGGAAUGGCAUUGGAUACUGCUGGUCUGGAGGAUUGGAGGGGGGGACUGGAAUUCUUGGUGUAGCAGUGAAAUGCGUAGAUAUCAAGAGGAACACCAGUGGCGAAGGCGAGUCCCUGGACAAUUCCUGACACUGAGGCACGAAAGCCAAGGGAGCAAACAGG
rnacentral:rRNA from 1 species